GUGAGUAGUUCAGAGUUUGUAUCCUGGCUCAGGAGUGAACGCUGGCGGCGUGCCUAACACAUGCAAGUCGAACGAAGCACUUUGAUUGAUUCUUCGGAUGAAUGAUGAGUGACUGAGUGGCGGACGGGUGAGUAACGCGUGGGUAACCUGCCUCAUACAGGGGGAUAACAGUUAGAAAUGACUGCUAAUACCGCAUAAGCGCACGGAGCUGCAUGGCUCAGUGUGAAAAACUCCGGUGGUAUGAGAUGGACCCGCGUCUGAUUAGCUAGUUGGUAAGGUAACGGCUUACCAAGGCGACGAUCAGUAGCCGACCUGAGAGGGUGACCGGCCACAUUGGGACUGAGACACGGCCCAA
rnacentral:rRNA from 1 species